rnacentral:rRNA from 1 species
UACGUAGGGUGCAAGCGUUAAUCGGAAUUACUGGGCGUAAAGCGUGCGCAGGCGGUUUUGUAAGUCUGUCGUGAAAUCCCCGGGCUCAACCUGGGAAUGGCGAUGGAGACUGCAAGGCUAGAGUUUGGCAGAGGGGGGUAGAAUUCCACGUGUAGCAGUGAAAUGCGUAGAUAUGUGGAGGAACACCGAUGGCGAAGGCAGCCCCCUGGGCCAACACUGACGCUCAGGCACGAAAGCGUGGGGAGCAAACAGG